rnacentral:tRNA from 1 species
GCCAGACUGGCUCAGCCAGUGAAGCAUGUGACUCUUGAUCUUGGGGUUGUGGGUUUGAGCCCCACGUUGGGUG